rnacentral:rRNA from 1 species
UUGAACGCUGGCGGCAUGCCUUACACAUGCAAGUCGAACGGCAGCACGGACUUCGGUCUGGUGGCGAGUGGCGAACGGGUGAGUAAUACAUCGGAACGUGCCUAGUAGUGGGGGAUAACUACUCGAAAGAGUGGCUAAUACCGCAUGAGAUCUACGGAUGAAAGCAGGGGAUCGUAAGACCUUGUGCUACUAGAGCGGCCGAUGGCAGAUUAGGUAGUUGGUGGGAUAAAAGCUUACCAAGCCAACGAUCUGUAGCUGGUCUGAGAGGACGAUCAGCCACACUGGGACUGAGACACGGCCCAGACUCCUACGGGAGGCAGCAGUGGGGAAUUUUGGACAAUGGGCGAAAGCCUGAUCCAGCAAUGCCGCGUGCAGGAUGAAGGCCUUCGGGUUGUAAACUGCUUUUGUACGGAACGAAAAGCUUCGGGUUAAUACCCUGGAGUCAUGACGGUACCGUAAGAAUAAGCACCGGCUAACUACGUGCCAGCAGCCGCGGUAAUACGUAGGGUGCAAGCGUUAAUCGGAAUUACUGGGCGUAAAGCGUGCGCAGGCGGUUUUGUAAGACAGAGGUGAAAUCCCCGGGCUCAACCUGGGAACUGCCUUUGUGACUGCAAGGCUAGAGUACGGCAGAGGGGGAUGGAAUUCCGCGUGUAGCAGUGAAAUGCGUAGAUAUGCGGAGGAACACCGAUGGCGAAGGCAAUCCCCUGGGCCUGUACUGACGCUCAUGCACGAAAGCGUGGGGAGCAAACAGGAUUAGAUACCCUGGUAGUCCACGCCCUAAACGAUGUCAACUGGUUGUUGGGUCUUCAUUGACUCAGUAACGAAGCUAACGCGUGAAGUUGACCGCCUGGGGAGUACGGCCGCAAGGUUGAAACUCAAAGGAAUUGACGGGGGCCCGCACAAGCAGUGGAGUAUGUGGUUUAAUUCGACGCAACGCGAAGAACCUUACCAGGUCUUGACAUCCAACUAACGAAGUAGAGAUACAUUAGGUGCCCUUCGGGGAAAGUUGAGACAGGUGGUGCAUGGUUGUCGUCAGCUCGUGUCGUGAGAUGUUGGGUUAAGUCCCGCAACGAGCGCAACCCUUGCCAUUAGUUGCUACGAAAGGGCACUCUAAUGGGACUGCCGGUGACAAACCGGAGGAAGGUGGGGAUGACGUCAAGUCCUCAUGGCCCUUAUAGGUGGGGCUACACACGUCAUACAAUGGCUGGUACAAAGGGUUGCCAACCCGCGAGGGGGAGCUAAUCCCAUAAAGCCAGUCGUAGUCCGGAUCGCAGUCUGCAACUCGACUGCGUGAAGUCGGAAUCGCUAGUAAUCGUGGAUCAGCAUGUCACGGUGAAUACGUUCCCGGGUCUUGUACACACCGCCCGUCACACCAUGGGAGCGGGUCUCGCCAGAAGUAGGUAGCCUAACCGCAAGGAGGGCGCUUACCACGGCGGGGUUCGUGACUGGGGUG